rnacentral:rRNA from 1 species
AGAGUUUGAUCAUGGCUCAGAACGAACGCUGGCGGCAGGCCUAAUACAUGCAAGUCGAACGCACCUUCGGGUGAGUGGCAGACGGGUGAGUAACGCGUGGGAACCUUCCCAAUGGUACGGAAUAACUCCGGGAAACCGGUGCUAAUACCGUAUAAGCCCUUCGGGGGAAAGAUUUAUCGCCAUCGGAUGGGCCCGCGUCGGAUUAGCUAGUUGGUAAGGUAAUGGCUUACCAAGGCUACGAUCCGUAGCUGGUCUGAGAGGAUGAUCAGCCACACUGGGACUGAGACACGGCCCAGACUCCUACGGGAGGCAGCAGUAGGGAAUCUUGGACAAUGGGCGAAAGCCUGAUCCAGCCAUGCCGCGUGAGUGAAGAAGGCCUUAGGGUUGUAAAGCUCUUUUGGCGGGGACGAUAAUGACGGUACCCGCAGAAUAAGCCCCGGCUAACUUCGUGCCAGCAGCCGCGGUAAUUC